rnacentral:rRNA from 1 species
GCACCCGGGGAUGCCUUAGUACGGCGAGUGAGCGGCAAAAGCUCAAAUUUGAAAUCUGGUACCUUCGGUGCCCGAGUUGUAAUUUGGAGAGGGCAACUUUGGGGCCGUUCCUUGUCUAUGUUCCUUGGAACAGGACGUCAUAGAGGGUGAGAAUCCCGUGUGGCGAGGAGUGCGGUUCUUUGUAAAGUGCCUUCGAAGAGUCGAGUUGUUUGGGAAUGCAGCUCUAAGUGGGUGGUAAAUUCCAUCUAAAGCUAAAUAUUGGCGAGAGACCGAUAGCGAACAAGUACAGUGAUGGAAAGAUGAAAAGAACUUUGAAAAGAGAGUGAAAAAGUACGUGAAAUUGUUGAAAGGGAAGGGCAUUUGAUCAGACAUGGUGUUUUGUGCCCUCUGCUCCUUGUGGGUAGGGGAAUCUCGCAUUUCACUGGGCCAGCAUCAGUUUUGGUGGCAGGAUAAAUCCAUAGGAAUGUAGCUUGCCUCGGUAAGUAUUAUAGCCUGUGGGAAUACUGCCAGCUGGGACUGAGGACUGCGACGUAAGUCAAGGAUGCUGGCAUAAUGGUUAUAUGCCGCCCGUCUUGAAACACGGACCA